AAGUUACUUCGGUACAUCGGUGACAGGUGGUGCAUGGUUGUCGUCAGCUCGUGUCGUGAGAUGUUGGGUUAAGUCCCGCAACGAGCGCAACCCCUAUUGUUAGUUGCCAUCAUUCAGUUGGGCACUCUAGCGAGACUGCCGGUAAUAAACCGGAGGAAGUGGGGAUGACGUCAAAUCAUCAUGCCCCUUAUGACCUGGGCUACACACGUGUUACAAUGGUUGGUACAACGAGUUGCGAGUCGGUGACGGCGAGCUAAUCUCUUAAAGCCAAUCUCAGUUCGGAUUGUAGGCUGCAACUCGCCUACAUGAAGUCGGAAUCGCUAGUAAUCGCGGAUCAGCACGCCGCGGUGAAUACGUUCCCGGGCCUU
rnacentral:rRNA from 1 species